GACGAACGCUGGCGGCGUGCCCAAUACAUGCAAGUAGAACGCACAGUUUAUACCGUAGCUUGCUACACCAUAGACUGUGAGUUGCGAACGGGUGAGUAACGCGUAGGUAACCUGCCUGGUAGCGGGGGAUAACUAUUGGAAACGAUAGCUAAUACCGCAUAAUAUUGAUUAUUGCAUGAUAAUUGAUUGAAAGAUGCUAUUGCAUCACUACCAGAUGGACCUGCGUUGCAUUAGCUAGUAGGUGAGGUAACGGCUCACCUAGGCGACGAUACAUAGCCGACCUGAGAGGGUGAUCGGCCACACUGGGACUGAGACACGGCCCAGACUCCUACGGGAGGCAGCAGUAGGGAAUCUUCGGCAAUGGACGAAAGUCUGACCGAGCAACGCCGCGUGAGUGAAGAAGGUUUUCGGAUCGUAAAGCUCUGUUGUAAGAGAAGAACGGGUGUGAGAGUGGAAAGUUCACACUGUGACGGUAUCUUACCAGAAAGGGACGGCUAACUACGUG
rnacentral:rRNA from 1 species